rnacentral:rRNA from 1 species
CCUACGGGAGGCAACAGUGGGGGAUAUUGCACAAUGGGGGAAACCCUGAUGCAGCGACGCCGCGUGGGCGAAGAAGUAUUUCGGUAUGUAAAGCCCUAUCAGCAGGGAAGAAGAAAUGACGGUACCUGAGUAAGAAGCACCGGCUAAAUACGUGCCAGCAGCCGCGGUAAUACGUAUGGUGCAAGCGUUAUCCGGAUUUACUGGGGGUAAAGGGAGCGCAGGCGGAACGGCACGCCUGAUGUGAAAGCCCGCGGCCCAACCGCGGGACUGCAUUGGGAACUACCGGGCUGGAGUGCCGGAGAGGUAGGCGGAAUUCCUAGUGUAGCGGUGAAAUGCGUAGAUAUUAGGAUGAACACCAGUGGCGAAGGCGGCCUACUGGACGGUGACUGACGCUGAGGCUCGAAAGCGUGGGGAGCAAACAGGAUUAGAUACCCUUGUAGUC